UAAUCUUCAAAUACUGAGUCUAAGAGUAUUAAAGACACCAAAAUAAAUGAUGUCCGAAAACUAAGGACAUCAUGCCAAUUCAAGAGAAUCUGACACGAGCUGGAAUGAAUAGCUCACCCUGGAACCUGAUGUGCCAGAGACUGACUAGAGCUGAGGGCGAAUCUAAUUCACUGAUACACUCGCUGCACUCCACAAAAAGAAAACAAAGAAAAACACAAGUAGGGCUCAGUACAAGGCAACAUGUACUGAGUAGUUAUCAUCGGCC
rnacentral:lncRNA from 1 species